CCUACGGGAGGCAGCAGUGAGGAAUAUUGGUCAAUGGACGAGAGUCUGAACCAGCCAAGUAGCGUGAAGGAUGACUGCCCUAUGGGUUGUAAACUUCUUUUAUAUGGGAAUAAAACGUUCCACGUGUGGGAUUUUGUAUGUACCAUAUGAAUAAGGAUCGGCUAACUCCGUGCCAGCAGCCGCGGUAAUACGGAGGAUCCGAGCGUUAUCCGGAUUUAUUGGGUUUAAAGGGAGCGUAGGUGGAUUGUUAAGUCAGUUGUGAAAGUUUGCGGCUCAACCGUAAAAUUGCAGUUGAAACUGGCAGUCUUGAGUACAGUAGAGGUGGGCGGAAUUCGUGGUGUAGCGGUGAAAUGCUUAGAUAUCACGAAGAACUCCGAUCGCGAAGGCAGUUCACUGGACUGCAACUGACACUGAGGCUCGAAAGUGUGGGUAUCAAACAGGAUUAGAUACCCUAGUAGUC
rnacentral:rRNA from 1 species